UGGGGAAUAUUGCACAAUGGGCGCAAGCCUGAUGCAGCCAUGCCGCGUGUAUGAAGAAGGCCUUCGGGUUGUAAAGUACUUUCAGCGGGGAGGAAGGGAGUAAAGUUAAUACCUUUGCUCAUUGACGUUACCCGCAGAAGAAGCACCGGCUAACUCCGUGCCAGCAGCCGCGGUAAUACGGAGGGUGCAAGCGUUAAUCGGAAUUACUGGGCGUAAAGCGCACGCAGGCGGUCUGUUAAGUCAGAUGUGAAAUCCCCGGGCUCAACCUGGGAACUGCAUCUGAUACUGGCAAGCUUGAGUCUCGUAGAGGGGGGUAGAAUUCCAGGUGUAGCGGUGAAAUGCGUAGAGAUCUGGAGGAAUACCGGUGGCGAAGGCGGCCCCCUGGACGAAGACUGACGCUCAGGGGCGAAAGCGUGGGGAGCAAACAGG
rnacentral:rRNA from 1 species